GGUUAGGGAUCCUCCAACACCCUUCGGAAUUUCGGAAGGAGACCAUUUUUUUAAAAAAUUCUGUAAAUACCCAUUAAGUUUUAAAGAAAAAAUUCAUCGAAUUAUUUCGUUUUUCAUUUCGGAUCAGAAAUUGUUCUCUUUCUGGCUCUGCUCUUCUCUCCUCCACUUUCACCCAUCACCACCACCACCAUAAGCAACCGUUUCUCCGCCGCCGCAACCAGUACCACCAUCACCACGACCAUCUCAAUCUCUACCGUCUAUAACAUUUCAAAUCCUUACGAAUUAAAGACAGAAAUAUAUCUUCGUCGGAAAUUACUUUUCAGAUUGAUAAACCAAGCUCCGUAGCCAUCAAACGGUUUAGCAUCAUCGUCAUCUUCUUCUUCUCUGUUUGUCACUGAUUUACAAUAUCAGAUUCACUUUCAGGAGAUCGGGAGAUCUGAUUUUAGGUUUCGUUUUCUGAAAUAUUAGAAGGCUUCGAAAGCAAAGAGCGGUGAUAACGUCUUAAGUCACUACUGGUGCUGUUGUAGGAGGAGAAAUGUGAUGAGGUAGCUAGAGCUGAUGUCGAAAUAGGUGGUGGUGACAUGGGAAGGAAUUAGCUUCGGCCGUACAAGAUGGUUGAGACAAAACUUCUUGCUUAGUAGCGUGAAUUUCAGGUUGUGUUGAGUUGCUGAUGAUGGUUGUGCUGCUGAUGGUGUUUGAGUAUGGGCAUGGAAGUGACUGCAGCUAUUGGCUCAUGUUGCAAGUGUGCAUAGAUGGUUGUGGUCAUGAAGCUGUUGCAGGUAGAGUUGUGGUAGCAGAGAUGGAGGAUAUGGUGUUGUCUGGUGGUGGUUUGAAUUGUUGGUUGAGCACUGAUGGUGCGGCAAAUAUGUGAGUCUGUUUACUGGGUUUGCAAUUGAAAAUCUGCUAAUGCAGUAACAUAGAUGCUGGUAUGUGAUUUUGAUAUGUUUUUUUUUGUAUAAACGAAUCUAUGGUGCAAUGGUAGCACAACUGACACUAUGUCAGAAAAUGUGUGUUCGACUCACACUAGGUUCACUUAUUUGUGUAUAUAUUUUAAUUUUUGGAGACAACUUGUGAUAGUUGCCUCCAUAUUUGGAGACAACUUGGGCUAGUUGCUUUUACUUUUGAAAA